CCACAUGAGUCUACCUACAGAAGGCCACAUGAGCCUACCUACAGAAGGCCACAUGACUCUACCUACAGAAGGUCACACGAGUCUACCUACAGAAGGCCACAUGACUCUACCUACAGAAGGCCACACGAGUCUACCUACAGAAGGCCACAUGACUCUACCUACAGAAGGCCACAUGAGCCUACCUACAGAAGGCCACACGAGUCUAACUACAGAAGGCCACAUGAGCCUGCCUAACAGAAGGCCACCAGAGGCAAUGGACUCCUGCAGCCAGGGGGCCGUGCAUUGGACACCUGGCAGUCAGUCACAAAGGGUUAAAGAAUCACGAGGAGAGUCGCAAGGGCAACACUUCCUGAGUGCGUGAUGGUGUGGCUGAUGUGGACGUGGGGAGACGGCGCGUUCACUUCUGGCAGCUGUGUGGUGGUGUAUGGAGACGUCACGUGGAACUGGACUCCGGGGCCAGAAACAGGCCCUGUGGAUCAAUCUAGUCUGGAGGGGAGGAUGAUGCUGGUGACCUUGAUUUAAUCUGACCAACUGGGGCUGCACCCACCGCUGGUUACCAGCCACCUGCCAUGUGAUGGGCUGCACCCACCGCUGGUUACCAGCCACCCGCCGUGUGAUGGGCUGCACCCACUGCUGGUUACCAGCUGCCUGACAUCACCACCAGCACCUGGCGCUGCGUCAGAGACAUUGUUUAUCCACGAGAGGAAAAGAGUGGACAAAUCAAAGACUCAUCAAACGCUCACGAUAGCUUCCUGCAACAGAACCAUGGCUCCCACCCAUGUGGCCCUGACCCGAGAGCUUCUGCCCGGAGGAACUGAGCUCCUGGACCUGUGUAUGUGAGCGACCAGGUGGGGUAAGAGCUGGGGACAACAAGCAGGGCGCCCGGUGCAGGUCCCUGGGGGCAGCAGGGCCCUUUCCCUCCAGGGUCUCACUGCCCUGAAGCCUGGGGCUCUGCUGCUCUCCUCGAGGGUCUCUCCCUCUCCUCUCUGCCAUAACUUUCCACUUCCCUAAGUAAAACAUGGAGCUGAACAUUUACUGUUUGUUACAUCAGCUCAGUAGGUACUUGUUUGACUUUAAAUAAAAGGCUGUUGGGAUUGGAGAGGUGUUUCUCUGUCCCACACAGAACACCAACACAGCUCUGCCUUGGUGUGGUCCUCAGAGCUGUGAUGGGUUCCUGGUGGGGACAGCCAGAGCCCCUGUUAGCGCCCAGACCAGAAACACGUCCUCCCUCGGUCCUACAUAGUGUGGGUUGGUGGCAUUUUCCCUCACACCUGUGAGCAAGCUGUGGCCACUUGCCAUGGUGACUAUAAGACCUUUUCUGUUUCUAGGGCUGCUGUAAAUUUCCAAGAAGGAAAGUUCUAGAAGUACCAUGUCAUAGGGAAGCCAAAUCCUUCAGCAGAAGAGUUUAGGAGAGUAAGGGGCUGUGGGGCUCUGUCCUAGUGGCUUGAAGCCACAGGGAAGGAGGUCCUUUAAAUGCUGACAAAAGCAAAAACCAAACCAAACCAAGAAAACCGUAAGAUGGCUACCUUCCUAAUCAAACAAUCACUUACAUCAGCUUACCUUCUACUUAACGUAGCCUUGAUCUCUAAGAACCAGUGGCUGUCGACAAAACAGGGUUGUCUCAGACACCUUCAGGACUGAGUGGUGCACAGAUGUGGCACCACACUGAGCCAAGCUGUGUGGAGCGCCUCCUGUAUGCCAGGCAUCCAAAGGAAAGCCUCCUAACACACGCAGCACUAAUAGAGCCAAACCUCCUGAGGUCCGAGCUGCCUCCCGCUUUGCUAGCAGAGGGCUACGGGCUAUUGUCCUUCAAGGAGAAGACACAGCAGAAGUCACACAGAAGGGGACAGAAGUCACUUUGCAAAUGAACCUAUGGGCAGUCCCCACGGAGCGGGUGAGCCACUGGCCCACAGCACCUGGAGCCAUGAACGGACCCAGUUUCCGUCUCACCGGCAGUUGCACAGAGUCGGACCCCACAGAGCUGGGGGUUCCAACCUCUCUUUCCACUCUUGCCUUGCUUAGUGGCAUCUGGGAUCUCCUGGGGCCACCUCCACUUCCCUAGUCUGUUCCCCUUAAUCAGGACAGAGCCAGUCACACAAACUAAGGUGUGGACUGACCUGGGGCACUUUACCACUGAUCUACAUCCCAGCCCUUUCUGUUUUUGAGACACAAUCUUGCCAAGUUGCUGAGAUGGGCCUCGAACUUGCCAUCCUCCUGCCUCAGCCUCUUAAGUAGAUGGAUUACAGGUGUGUGCCACCUCACCUGGCGACAAGAGAAAUAUUUGUUUAAUCAGACAUCCCAAACCUGUCUGGACUCUCGCUCUCUUUUCUAGGACAAAUAUAUACAUUUAUAUGUAUCUAUACAGUAAAUAA